UACGUAGGGUGCAAGCGUUGUCCGGAAUUAUUGGGCGUAAAGAGCUCGUAGGCGGUUUGUCGCGUCUGCUGUGAAAACUGGAGGCUCAACCUCCAGCCUGCAGUGGGUACGGGCAAACUAGAGUGCGGUAGGGGAGAUUGGAAUUCCUGGUGUAGCGGUGGAAUGCGCAGAUAUCAGGAAGAACACCCGUGGCGAAGGCGGCUCUCUGGGACGGUACUGACGCUGAGACGCGAAAGCGUGGGGAGCGAACAGG
rnacentral:rRNA from 1 species